rnacentral:rRNA from 1 species
CCAGACUCCUACGGGAGGCAGCAGCUAAGAAUCUUCCGCAAUGGACGAAAGUCUGACGGAGCGACGCCGUGUGAAUGAAGAAGGCCGAAAGGUUGUAAAAUUCUUUUGCAGAUGAAGAAUAAGAAGAAGAGGGAAUGCUUCUUUGAUGACGGUAGUCAUGCGAAUAAGCCCCGGCUAAUUACGUGCCAGCAGCCGCGGUAACACGUAAGGGGCGAGCGUUGUUCGGAAUUAUUGGGCGUAAAGGGUAUGUAGGCGGUUAGGUAAGCCUGGUGUGAAAUCUACGAGCUCAACUCGUAAACUGCAUUGGGUACUGCUUGACUUGAAUCACGGAGGGGAAACCGGAAUUCCAAGUGUAGGGGUGGAAUCUGUAGAUAUUUGGAAGAACACCGGUGGCGAAGGCGGGUUUCUGGCCGAUGAUUGACGCUGAUAUACGAAGGUGCGGGGAGCAAACAGGAUUAGAUACCCUGGUAGUCCGCACAGUAAACGAUGUACACUAGGUGUCGGGGCAAGAGCUUCGGUGCCGACGCAAACGCAUUAAGUGUACCGCCUGGGAAGUAUGCCCGCAAGGGUGAAACUCAAAGGAAUUGACGGGGGCCCGCACAAGAAGGGCGAA